rnacentral:ncRNA from 1 species
GAGUAGAGGUUGCGUAAAUCAAGAGUAACCUGCCGGAUGCCUCAGGGGGCAAGAGAAGGCGGGCGAAAGGGAGGCACGCCGAAGGAAGAGAUGUCCUGAACAUAUUUUCCUGGGCGCAGAGUGAAGAAUUCUGUGACUGUCAUCCUUAUGGAUGGGGAGCUACUA